rnacentral:rRNA from 1 species
GAUCAUGGCUCAGGAUGAACGCUAGCUACAGGCUUAACACAUGCAAGUCGAGGGGCAGCAUGACCUAGCAAUAGGUUGGUGGCGACCGGCGCACGGGUGAGUAACACGUAUCCAACCUACCGGUUAUUCCGGGAUAGCCUUUCGAAAGAAAGAUUAAUACCGGAUAGUAUAACGAGAAGGCAUCUUUUUGUUAUUAAAGAAUUUCGAUAACCGAUGGGGAUGCGUUCCAUUAGUUUGUUGGCGGGGUAACGGCCCACCAAGACA